UGAUCCUAAGCAUCAGUUGCUAUGGAGACAUAGCCAGUCCGCUUAGAGAUUGGGUGAUUUCUUUAGUGAUUUCAUUUCUCAUUGCGCUCUGUCCAGAGAUGCCAGGAAGUUCAAAGAAAAUGUGCCCAGGGUGCAACACCCUAAUAAGUGUUGCAUACAAGGCUUGCCCACUUUGCAAACAACUGCAGCCAUAUAAAGCAAAAGUUGCAGCGAAGAGAUGCAACUUUCAAAAUAAAAAAAAUGAAUGGAAGGAGUCAGUAAAGAAAAACAACAACAGGACAGUUGUUCUCAAUAGCAGCCAUGUGUUGCUUGACAAACUUGCUGCCCUUGAUUUUUUCCCCAUACUACUUUUGGGUAAGAAGUGCAAAGGAAGUUUGGUGGCCGAUGUCAUCCUAGGAGGGGAUUAUAUUUUGGAUCCUGAUUUGCUUCAGAGGGUUAAACUUAUGUAUGAAGCUGUGCUAAAGAUUCAUUUUCAAAGACAGAAGAAGGCCACAAGUAGCACAGAAACUACUCACCCUCCCAAAGCCACUGCCACUGAGACCAACUUCACUCGAGAAGCCACUGAGACCACCGUCAUUCCAGAAGCCACUGAGACCACAGGCUCAUCAAAAGCCACAAGACCCCGGGGCCAGAAGGCAAAAAAAAGACAAAAUCCAGUCCAACAGAGGGUAGCCAGCAAGAUGAAGCCAAAAAAAAAAGUAUGAGUGUCCAGAAUGCUGUUGGAGAGUGAGGCAAAACAACUUUGACUACUCCAAGGUUUUGAAAAGAAGAGUGAGAGAGGGAACAGAGGAGGUCCUCAUUUGUUGGGUUCCAUGCAAGACCUGUGGGACCAAAUGGAAAGACUCCUGGGAGCCCUCCUCCCUUCUUGAAUAAUGAAUUAAACAUUUUUUUUAAUUUUGUAUUUUCUUUUAUAAUGAAUAAAAUAACUACAAACAUAAACAAAGUUAUUGGCUUGUUAUUCAUUGUCUAAAUUGCAUAUGCUAUAUAGAGUACAUACAGAUCUUUAGAAAUAACCUAAUUAAAAAUCCUCUGUUAAUUGUCAGUUUUGUAUGAAUCCUGUUAUAUCUACUUCUGUACGUCUGUUAUGUUCUCACCUGUGUUUGUCUGUGUAUGUAGUUAUAUAUGUACUGUCUAUAUAUUGGUUGUAAGCAGGAUUUCUUGUAACUUGGUGGAUGGGUAGGACAUGGUCCAGGAAGAAAGCUAUUAUAUUUUGUGGCAGUUUAAAUUUUAGAUUAAUUAAAUUUGAUGUAGUUGGAGACAUUUGCUCUACUUUAUGCCCUUAAUGUUCAGGUUUGUGUCCUUCUGUCCAGAUGACAUUGAGCGGAGAACAUCAUGAUGGUGCUGGUUCCACCCCAGGGCAGGAAGUAGAACAGUAGUUGGCAUGCCGUGUAGAUGUACUAUCGUUAUCUGCCUCUACUUCUAAAGCUAUACAGAUCCACUUUGGGAACUGGAAACCCUUAAAGCUCACCUUCACCUGGAAAUGAGAGAAUGGGUAUAUGGUCUCGGUGACUUGACAGAGGAUGCUACCUAUGGGCUCAACAGUCUCAUCAAUCGGAGGUCACUCAGAAGUCAACACAGACAGGCUGUAAAUGCAUACAGCAGUAUAGGCGCUUUCGAUAACAUUGAGGACAGGACCGGUGCACUGAAGAUGUGUACUAAACAAACCUGCCUUGCUUUUAUGUCAAAAAGCCCUUUUUAUGAAGUGAUUUACAGUAUAAGGGAAUUUUCAUCAGAAACCCAACUGUUGGAAAAUAGUGCACUUUGAUUUUUACAUUUCAAACCAAAGCUACUAAGUGUUUUCACCCAUAGCUUAGAGAUAAUAAAGGCCACUUAUCUUCAGGAAAGUAUUGACAAUAUAAAUAAUGGCACUUUGCUAAAAUGUUCAGAUUAUGUAUUGUUAUUAGAAACAAAGACAAAAUACUAACUAUGUGUAAAGGUCUUUUCCUUUCCAGCACUUUUAUACAAUGUCAAUUAUAUCAUAAAAGUUUUUUAAGAUAUAUUUACCUGCCUUCAUUCUUAAAUUCAAAACUCA